rnacentral:rRNA from 1 species
GACGACGCUGGCGGCGUGCCUAACACAUGCAAGUCGAGCGGAGGUACUUGAGGAGUAAUCUGAGGGUACUUUAGCGGCGGACGGGUGAGUAACGCGUGAGCAACCUGCCUUUCACAGGGGGAUAAGGCGGCGAAAGCCGCUCUAAUACCGCAUGAGACCACGGGGAUGAUAUUCCAGGGGUCAAAGGAGCAAUCCGGUGAGAGAUGGGCUCGCGUCCGAUUAGGUAGUUGGUGAGGUAACGGCCCACCAAGCCAAUGAUCGGUAGCCGGCCUGAGAGGGUGAACGGCCACAUUGGAACUGAGAGACGGUCCAAACUCCUACGGGAGGCAGCAGUGGGGAAUAUUGGGCAAUGGGGGAAACCCUGACCCAGCAACGCCGCGUGAGGGAAGAAGGUUUUCGGAUUGUAAACCUCUGUUCUUGGAGAAGAGAAGAAGACGGUAUCCAAGGAGGAAGCCCCGGCUAACUACGUG